UAACAAAAAAUUUUUGGAAUUGUNCUAUUAANGAAAUUUANCGGAUUUGGCGGCAAGAUNGCCACUUAGAGGAACCUGCCCUGUAAACGAUGAACCACGAUUAACCUUACUUUUAUUAGAAUCCAGUUUGUAUACCGCUGUUGUCAGUUAGUUUCUUUAGAAAACUUUCGUACAUGAAAAGUUCAAGGACUUCAAGUAAAGGUGCAGCUUAUGUAAAAGAUAGAGGUGGGUUACAAUUAAAAGAAUAAUAUGGAUAAAGUAGAGAAGAAACUUUUGAAGGUGGAUUUAAUAGUAAAGUUUAAAAAGACUUGAUUAGAGCUCUAUCUUGUGUACACACCGCCCGUCGCUCGCGGGAAAAA
rnacentral:rRNA from 1 species